GAAUAUUGCUCAAUGGACGCAAGUCUGAAGCAGCGACGCCGCGUGGGUGAAGAAGGUCUUCGGAUCGUAAAGCCCUUUUCCAGGUGACGAGGAAGGACGGUAACCUGGGAAUAAGUGUCGGCUAACUACGUGCCAGCAGCCGCGGUAAAACGUAGGACGCAAGCGUUAUCCGGAAUUACUGGGCGUAAAGCGCGCGCAGGCGGGUCAGCAAGUCAUGCGUGAAAGCUCCUGGCUAAACUGGGAGAGGUCGGAUGAGACUGCUGGUCUGGAGUGUGUCAGAGGGAUGUGGAAUUCCGCGUGUAGUGGUGAAAUGCGUAGAGAUGCGGAGGAACACCAGUGGCGAAGGCGGCAUCCUGGGGCACAACUGACGCUGAGGCACGAAAGCAUGGGUAGCGAACGGG
rnacentral:rRNA from 1 species